rnacentral:misc_RNA from 1 species
UGUAUUAUACCACAUAACUUUCUGCUGGAUGUACCGAUUUUGAUAAUUUUUUUUUUGUUGGAAAGGGGAUAUCCCUAUUUGGUACCGUGAUAAGGAAACUAGGAUCUGAUGAUGGAAUCCCAGAGAAAUCGAGGGAAACUCUCGAAAAUCCGCAAUAACUUUUUACUGGGUGUACCGAUUUUGAUCAUUUUUAAUUUAAUCGAAAGCUGAUGUUUAUCAUGUGGUCACAUAUAAAUUUUAUCGAGAUCUGAUAACUACUUUUUGAGUAAUCUUUGAUA